rnacentral:rRNA from 1 species
AUUGAACGCUGGCGGCAGGCCUAACACAUGCAAGUCGAGCGGAUGAACGGGGCUCGCUCUUGCCUUCAGUGGCGGACGGGUGAGUAAUGCAUAGGAACCUGCCCGGUAGUGGGGGAUAGCGUCCCGAAAGGGGCGCUAAUACCGCAUACGACCUGAGGGUGAAAGUGGGGGAUCUUCGGACCUCGCGCUAUUAGAUGAGCCUAGGUCGGAUUAGCUAGUUGGUGGGGUAAAGGCGUACCAAGGCGACGAUCCGUAGCUGGUCUGAGAGGAUGAUCAGCCACACUGGAACUGAGACACGGUCCAGACUCCUACGGGAGGCAGCAGUGGGGAAUAUUGGACAAUGGGCGAAAGCCUGAUCCAGCCAUGCCGCGUGUGUGAAGAAGGUCUUCGGAUUGUAAAGCACUUUUAUUUGGGAAGAAGGGCUGUGGGUUAAUACCUUGCUGUUUUGACGUUACCAAAAGAAUAAGCACCGGCUAACUACGUG